ensembl:miRNA gmo-mir-10d gmo-mir-10d
UACCCUGUAGAUCCGAAUUUGUGUUAUAAACGCAGUCACAAAUUCGCUUCUUGGGGACUA